AUCAUAAGCGGAGGAAAGAACCAACCGGGAUUGCCUUAGUAACGGCGAGUGAAGCGGCAAAAGCUCAAAUUUGAAAUCUGGUACCUUCGGUGCCCGAGUUGUAAUUUGGAGAGGGCAACUUUGGGGCCGUUCCUUGUCUAUGUUCCUUGGAACAGGACGUCAUAGAGGGUGAGAAUCCCGUGUGGCGAGGAGUGCGGUUCUUUGUAAAGUGCCUUCGAAGAGUCGAGUUGUUUGGGAAUGCAGCUCUAAGUGGGUGGUAAAUUCCAUCUAAAGCUAAAUAUUGGCGAGAGACCGAUAGCGAACAAGUACAGUGAUGGAAAGAUGAAAAGAACUUUGAAAAGAGAGUGAAAAAGUACGUGAAAUUGUUGAAAGGGAAGGGCAUUUGAUCAGACAUGGUGUUUUGUGCCCUCUGCUCCUUGUGGGUAGGGGAAUCUCGCAUUUCACUGGGCCAGCAUCAGUUUUGGUGGCAGGAUAAAUCCAUAGGAAUGUAGCUUGCCUCGGUAAGUAUUAUAGCCUGUGGGAAUACU
rnacentral:rRNA from 1 species